GAGUUUGAUCUUGGCUCAGAGCGAACGCUGGCGGCAUGCUUAACACAUGCAAGUCGCACGGUCAGCAAUGGCAGUGGCGGACGGGGUGAGUAACACGUAGGAAUCUAUCUCUGGGUGGGGGACAACAGUGGGAAACUACUGCUAAUACCGCAUGAUACCUGAGGGUCAAAGGCGUAAGUCGCCUGGAGAGGAGCCUGCGUCUGAUUAGCUUGUUGGUGGGGUAAAGGCCUACCAAGGCUACGAUCAGUAGCUGGUCUGAGAGGAUGAUCAGCCACAUUGGGACUGAGACACGGCCCAAACUCCUACGGGAGGCAGCAGUGGGGAAUAUUGGACAAUGGGCGAAAGCCUGAUCCAGCAAUGCCGCGUGUGUGAAGAAGGUCUUCGGAUUGUAAAGCACUUUUGGCAGGGACGAUGAUGACGGUACCUGCAGAAUAAGCCCCGGCUAACUUCGUGCCAGCAGCCGCCGU
rnacentral:rRNA from 1 species